UACGUAGGUGGCAAGCGUUGUCCGGAAUUAUUGGGCGUAAAGCGUGCGUAGGCGGCUGCGCAAGUCGGUUGUGAAACCCCGGGGCUCAACCCCGGAACUGCAUCCGAUACUGCGUGGCUAGAGGUAGGUAGGGGAGAUCGGAAUUCCUGGUGUAGCGGUGAAAUGCGCAGAUAUCAGGAGGAACACCGGUGGCGAAGGCGGAUCUCUGGGCCUUACCUGACGCUCAGGCACGAAAGCUAGGGGAGCGAACAGG
rnacentral:rRNA from 1 species